UACGAAGGGGGCUAGCGUUGCUCGGAAUCACUGGGCGUAAAGCGCACGUAGGCGGAUUGCUAAGUCAGGGUGAAAUCCUGGAGCUCAACUCCAGAACUGCCUUUGAUACUGGCGAUCUUGAGUCCGGAGAGGUGAGUGGAACUGCGAGUGUAGAGAUGAAAUUCGUAGAUAUUCGCAAGAACACCAGUGGCGAAGGCGGCUCACUGGCCCGGUACUGACGCUGAGG
rnacentral:rRNA from 1 species